AUGCAGCUGGACGAUGCGUGUUGCAGGAUCACGGAUAGUGCAGGCAUUGGUGGUAAUCUACUUCUACUUUCUGUAUGGAGCUGGGCGCGUCUGCCUGUUGGAUGCCCGAAGAGCGUCAGGUUUGAUCCUUGGUAUGCAGAUGAACAUGACGAAUUACGGCGCCCCACGUGGGCUUACAAGUGGGAUAUCAUUUCCGAGAUGACGAACGGUGUCAAUCUCAUGUACCAAAAGUACAUUGCCGAGUUGGACACGAUUACGCCUGAGCAGGUAAGGAGGUCAUUACUUCAGUCCUUUCUCAUGCUUGCUUGA
rnacentral:rRNA from 1 species